UACGGAGGGUGCAAGCGUUGUCCGGAAUCACUGGGCGUAAAGGGCGCGUAGGCGGCCCGGUAAGUAGGGGGUGAAAUCCUGCGGCUUAACCGCAGGGCUGCCUUCUAAACUGUCGGGCUCGAGCACGGUAGAGGCAGAUGGAAUUCCCGGUGUAGCGGUGGAAUGCGUAGAUAUCAGGAGGAACACCAAUAGCGAAGGCAGCUCGCUGGGACGGUACUGACGCUGAGGCACGAAAGCAUGGGGAGCGAACAGG
rnacentral:rRNA from 1 species